CCUACGGGAGGCAGCAGUGAGGAAUAUUGGUCAAUGGGCGGAAGUCUGAACCAGCCAAGUAGCGUGCAGGAUGACGGCCCUACGGGUUGUAAACUGCUUUUAUACGGGAAUAACGCGCCUUACGUGUAGGGCUUUGUAUGUACCGUAUGAAUAAGGAGCGGGUAAUUCCGUGCCAGCAGCCGCGGGAAUACGGAGGGGACGGGCGUUAUCCGGAUUUAUUGGGUUUAAAGGGAGCGUAGGCCGAGUGUUAAGCGUGCUGUGAAAUGUCGGGGCUCAACCCGGGCAUUGCAGGGGGAACUGGCGGGCUUGAGUCCGCGGAAGGCAGGCGGAAUUCGUCGUGUAGCGGUGAAAUGCUUAGGUAUGACGAAGAACCCCGAUUGCGAAGGCAGCUUGCUGGAGCGGAACUGACGCUGAUGCUCGAAAGCGCGGGUAUCGAACAGGAAUAGAUACCCCAGUAGUC
rnacentral:rRNA from 1 species